ACGCCGGCGGUGUGCCUAAUACAUGCAAGUCGAACGCGUUGGCCCAAUUGAUUGAUGGUGCUUGCACCUGAUUGAUUUUGGUCGCCAACGAGUGGCGGACGGGUGAGUAACACGUAGGUAACCUGCCCAGAAGCGGGGGACAACAUUUGGAAACAGAUGCUAAUACCGCAUAACAACGUUGUUCGCAUGAACAACGCUUAAAAGAUGGCUUCUCGCUAUCACUUCUGGAUGGACCUGCGGUGCAUUAGCUUGUUGGUGGGGUAACGGCCUACCAAGGCAAUGAUGCAUAGCCGAGUUGAGAGACUGAUCGGCCACAAUGGGACUGAGACACGGCCCAUACUCCUACGGGAGGCAGCAGUAGGGAAUCUUCCACAAUGGGCGCAAGCCUGAUGGAGCAACACCGCGUGAGUGAAGAAGGGUUUCGGCUCGUAAAGCUCUGUUGUUAAAGAAGAACACGUAUGAGAGUAACUGUUCAUACGUUGACGGUAUUCAACCAGAAAGUCACGGCUAACUACGUGCCAGCAGCCGCGGUAAUACGUAGGUGGCAAGCGUUAUCCGGAUUUAUUGGGCGUAAAGAGAGUGCAGGCGGUUUUCUAAGUCUGAUGUGAAAGCCUUCGGCUUAACCGGAGAAGUGCAUCGGAAACUGGAUAACUUGAGUGCAGAAGAGGGUAGUGGAACUCCAUGUGUAGCGGUGGAAUGCGUAGAUAUAUGGAAGAACACCAGUGGCGAAGGCGGCUACCUGGUCUGCAACUGACGCUGAGACUCGAAAGCAUGGGUAGCGAACAGGAUUAGAUACCCUGGUAGUCCAUGCCGUAAACGAUGAGUGCUAGGUGUUGGAGGGUUUCCGCCCUUCAGUGCCGGAGCUAACGCAUUAAGCACUCCGCCUGGGGAGUACGACCGCAAGG
rnacentral:rRNA from 1 species